rnacentral:rRNA from 1 species
AUUGAACGCUGGCGGCAGGCCUAACACAUGCAAGUCGAGCGGCAGCGGGGGGAAGCUUGCUUCCUCGCCGGCGAGCGGCGGACGGGUGAGUAAUGUCUGGGAAACUGCCCGAUGGAGGGGGAUAACUACUGGAAACGGUAGCUAAUACCGCAUAACGUCUACGGACCAAAGUGGGGGACCUUCGGGCCUCACACCAUCGGAUGAACCCAGAUGGGAUUAGCUAGUAGGCGGGGUAAAGGCCCACCUAGGCGACGAUCUCUAGCUGGUCUGAGAGGAUGACCAGCCACACUGGAACUGAGACACGGUCAGACUCCUACGGGAGGCAGCAGUGGGGAAUAUUGCACAAUGGGCGAAAGCCUGAUGCAGCCAUGCCGCGUGUAUGAAGAAGGCCUUCGGGUUGUAAAGUACUUUCAGCGAGGAGGAAGGCAUUAAGGUUAAUAACCUUGGUGAUUGACGUUACUCGCAGAAGAAGCACCGGCUAACUCCGUGCCAGCCGCCGCGGUAAUAC